AGCUGGAACAGCAGCUAUCAAAACUGUUGAACUUGAUGCAGUUCUUGGAGGGCGUGCUGUUCAGCACAGAGAAAUACAAGGCCAUGAAUCUGACAAAUUUUUGUCCUACUUUAAACCUUGUAUCAUACCAUUAGAGGGGGGUGUUGCAUCUGGAUUCAAGAAACCUGAGGAAGAAGUAUUUGAAACACGGUUGUAUGUCUGUAGGGGAAAACGUGUUGUCAGGAUGAAGCAGGUUCCCUUUGCCCGGGCGUCACUGAAUCAUGAUGAUGUGUUUAUCUUAGAUGCCGAGAAAAAGAUCUAUCAGUUCAAUGGUGCAAAUUCCAAUAUCCAGGAAAGGGCCAAGGCUUUGGAAGUAAUUCAGUUUUUGAAGGAGAAGUAUCAUGAGGGGACAUGUGAUGUUGCAAUUGUUGAUGAUGGAAAAUUAGAUACUGAGUCAGACUCAGGUGAAUUUUGGGUUCUCUUUGGUGGUUUUGCUCCAAUUGGAAAAAAGGUUGUUGGUGAAGACGAUAUUGUCCCAGAGACAACACCUGCUAAAUUAUAUAGCAUCACUGAUGGUGAGGUGAAGGCUGUAGAAGGUGAAUUGUCCAAAGGCCUGUUGGAAAACAACAAAUGCUAUCUACUUGACUGUGGUGCUGAGAUAUUUGUGUGGGUUGGCCGUGUGACACAAGUGGAGGAAAGAAAAGCUGCCAGCCAGGCUGCUGAGGAAUUUGUUGUGAGCCAAAACAGGCCAAAAUCUACUCGUAUAACCCGGGUUAUUCAAGGAUAUGAGACACAUUCAUUCAAAUCAAACUUUGAUUCCUGGCCAGCUGGGUCAGCAGCUCCUGGUGCCGAAGAAGGAAGAGGAAAAGUAGCAGCUUUGCUGAAGCAACAAGGUGUUGGUGUCAAGGGUAUGGCAAAAAGUGCCCCUGUUAAUGAGGAAGUCCCACCUUUGCUUGAAGGAGGUGGAAAGAUGGAGGUGUGGUGCAUCAAUGGUAGUGCAAAGACUCCAUUGCCUAAGGAAGAUAUUGGUAAAUUUUAUAGUGGAGAUUGCUACAUCAUACUUUACACCUACCACUCAGGUGAUAGGAAAGAAGAUUACCUUUUGUGCUGUUGGUUUGGAAAAGACAGCAUAGAGGAGGACCAGAAGAUGGCUGUUCGGUUGUCCAAUACAAUGUCCAACUCACUUAAAGGAAGACCUGUUCAGGGUCGCAUUUUUCAAGGCAAGGAGCCACCACAAUUCAUUGCACUUUUUCAGCCAAUGGUAGUUCUCAAGGGUGGUUUGAGCUCUGGGUACAAGAAAUAUGUAGAAGAGAAAGGAUUGACUGAUGAAACUUAUACAUCAGAUUGUGUUGCACUCUUUCGGAUAUCUGGAACUUCAGUUCAUAAUAACAAGACAGUACAAGUAGAUGCGGUGGCAACAUCUUUGAAUUCUACAGAGUGCUUCCUUCUGCAAUCUGGCUCUUCUGUUUUCACAUGGCAUGGGAAUCAAAGUACCUUCGAGCAGCAGCAAUUAUCUGCAAAAAUUGCUGAAUUUUUGAAGCCAGGAGUUGCUUUGAAACAUGCUAAAGAGGGAACCGAAAGUUCGGCAUUCUGGUUUGCACUUGGAGGCAAACAAAGUUACACCAGCAAAAAAGCUUCUCCAGAAAUUGCCAGAGAUCCCCACCUGUUCACUUUCUCAUUUAAUAAAGGUGGCCUUUUAUAUUCUGAAAUUCUGCUGAUGCUUCAUUAAUUUAAUUUUAUGUUCGCAUGAAGUGACAUCUUAGAAAGAUUUCUAAGUAGCUGAAAUAAAUUCUAACUGUCUUUUUUUAUUAUCAUUUUGCUGCUAUGUGGAUCUCUCAGGAAAAUUUCAGGUGAGUUCUAGACUUGUAAGCAUCCUUAAAAAGUCUUUCUAUACAGCUGCUUAGCAGCUUUUAAUGUUCUGUUGGGCAGGUUGAGGAGGUUUACAACUUUUCCCAAGAUGAUCUAUUGACUGAGGAUAUUUUGAUACUUGAUACGCAUGCUGAAGUUUUUGUUUGGGUUGGUCAAUCUGUAGAUCCCAAAGAAAAGCAGAACGCUUUUGACAUUGCCCAGAAAUACAUAGAAAUGGCUGCAUCUCUUGAGGGUUUGGCUCCAAAUGUGCCACUCUACAAGGUUACUGAGGGAAACGAACCAUCAUUUUUCACGACAUUCUUCUCAUGGGAUCCUACAAAAGCCAUGGUUGCAGGAAACUCAUUCCAAAAGAAGGCAGCAUUACUCUUUGGUGUAGGACAUCAUGCUGCAGAGGACAAGUCCAAUGGAAAUCAAGGAGGACAAACUCAAAGGGCUUCUGCUUUAGCUGCCUUGUCUUCUGCAUUUAACCCAUCUUCUGGGAAGUCAUCCUCUACAGCCCAGGAUAGGUCAAAUGGGUCUAAUCAAGGAGGACCGACACAAAGAGCUUCAGCUUUGGCUGCCUUGAACUCUGCAUUUAAUACAUCAUCUGGAUCCAAAAGUACUGCUUCAAGGACAUCUGGACCAGGUCAGGGAUCACAAAGAGCUGCGGCUGUAGCUGCUCUAUCAACAGUUCUUACUGCUGAAAAGAAGAAAACGCCUGAAACCUCCCCUUCAGGCAGUCCUCCCCCAGAAACUAAGCUUCCUGCUGCAGGGAAGAGUGAUAAUUCACUUUCGGAAAUGGAGGGUUCUGAAGAAGUUGCAGAAGUUAAGGAAAUGGAGGAAGUUGCAUCUGUUUCUGAAAGUAUUGGGGAGGAUUCAGAGCCAAAACUAGACAAUGAGCAGGAAGAGAAUAGUAAUGGAAGCAGUGAUAGUACAUUCAGUUAUGAUCAACUGAAGGCUCAUUCUGACAAUCCUGUAACUGGAAUCGAUUUUAAACGGAGAGAGGCCUAUCUGUCAGAGGAGGAUUUCCAGACUAUAUUCGGGAUGACAAAAGAUGCCUUCUAUAAAUUGCCGAAAUGGAAGCAGGAAUUGCAGAAGAGGAAAGUUGAUUUAUUUUAGAUUAUCACAUCCAUCAAAAAGAUUUCUCUGCUUUAUGCUUCGACUUACACUUCUUCAUUCGUUAUGGUCACUGCUCUUUUGAAAAAAAUUGCUGCUUCCUUGGUGAUCCUUGCCUGGCUUGCUGUGUCUAGCAUUUCAGUAAUUUGCUCUUUGAUGAAUCUAUCUGUGAUCAGCAUCCAUAUUUGUUGUGAUUAUGCCUGAGAGUGAGUUUUUUCCUUGUCUUUUUCGUUAUAAUCUUCUGCUGCCUCUUUGUAAUGAUACCCAAAUUGUAGUUUUUACAGGCAGUUGGCAGGUCAUAUUCUUUCAUUUGGUCAGUAAUGUAUCUCAUUUUGUGAUUUAUUUUGACUCUUUUUUUUUUCUACUUUUUAUUUGCUAAGAUGAAAGGGGGAUAUAUGUAUUUGCUUUUGUAUUUAACUUCCGAUAUCAGUAAUGAAAAUUUGUUUUUUGGAAUAAUAGUCUUGUUCCAUAACACUUUGUUACUGAUUCCAAAGCAUUCUAUAAAACUUUAUCGGU
rnacentral:misc_RNA from 1 species